CCCGCCCCCAUCCCCCCCUCCUAGCCGCGCCCACAUCGCCGUGAGCCCCUCCUUACAAAGACCUGGUAUUAGUAAGCUUAGCAAGACCGUCUCGCCCACGUAUACAAGCGAGUUGUGCCGUGCAGGCACGCAUAUAUAUAUAUAUAUACAGAUACACCUCUGCCAGUACGCGCACACACUUUCGGUCACAAGAGUGCGGAAGAGGACGACAGCGACGCCAUCGCACUUUGCCUGCUCCACACCCACCCCGCCCCUCUCCCUCGCUUAAGUUGUGUUCUUGCUGGCUCAGCAUGUCCGAUGGCACGCGCUACAUGUAUCCGGCCCGUAAGGCUCACGCGAUGGACCUCGGCUCGUCCCUCAACCCCGAGGGAGAUCAGAAGCAGACGUGGGGGAGCGUUGCCUCCAUCGCGGACGUCAUGUCGCCCACCGCGGAGAUCAAGCCCAGCGCUCCGCAGGUGACGCACUUUGGCACCGGACUUGGCAUGCAGAGCUCCACCGGCGACCUUGCCCUGCAAGAAGCCGAUAGCGAUGGCGACAAGACCGAGGUCGUGAACGAGUUUGACCUGGCCGCCUACUCAAAGGAGGAUCUCACGCAAACGCUGCAUAAGCGGAUCAUGAGCCGCAUGUUCUCUGCCUUUGACGUCACGCAGGUGGGCUACCUGGACAUCAACAAGCUCAAGGAGCUCUGCGUCUAUGUUGGCCGCAACAUGUCGCAGGAGGCUUCAGAGAAAAUGUUCGAUGAGCUCAAAGGCAUCGACGGGCACAUCACGUUCGACGUCUUUUGGAAUUGGUGGACGACCUACCCGGACACCAAGAUGACCAAGGACACCUUCUCUCUCGUGUCCGCCGACUUCUCCGUGCCUUAUCACCAGCAGCAGCUCAAAAUCAAAGAAGAAGGUGAGAUUUUCACCCCGAGCUACCGCGUGAAGUACUACUUCAAGGAUAUGGAGACAGGCCUACGCCGUCGUGUGAGUCCGUGGCACGACGUGCCGCUUUACGUGCGCGACCCGGUGCGCACAAAGCCGGAGAACAUCCGCGCCAACCGCUACAACUUCAUCUGCGAGAUCCCGAAGUGGACACGCGCCAAGUUCGAGAUUGCCACCGGCGAGCCGUUUAACCCCAUCAAGCAGGACAUCAAGAACGGUGUGCCACGAUUCUACAAGCACGGAGACAUGAUGUGGAACUAUGGCGCCUUCCCGCAGACGUGGGAGAGCACGGAGGUGAUCUUCGAGGACGGCGUCAGUGGCGACAACGACCCAAUAGACGGCGUUGAAAUCGGCAUGCGCCAGAUGCGCGUCGGCGAAAUCCACCCUGUCCGCAUCCUCGGCGUCCUCGGCAUGAUCGACGACGGACAGAUGGACUGGAAGGUGAUCUGCAUGUCCGUCAAUGACCCAGUCGCGCGCUUCAUCAGAGACAUCGACGACAUCCCAAAGUUCUUGCCUGGCUGCCUCGAUGCACUGCGCGAGUGGUUCCGGGUGUACAAGAUUUGCCAAGGCGGGGUCGAGAACAAGUUUGCCUUCAACGGUGAAUACAAGGACAAGACAUACGCUAUGAAGGUUGUGGACGAGUCGCACUACAUGUGGGAGAAUCUGCGCAAGAUUAAGAAGAAGGAAGAGGUGUGAAGCAAAAACCGCCCACUCGUGAUGUGCUCCCCACCCCCGCGCCCUCCCCCGUGGGUGCGUGUAUGUGUCGACUGCGUUCGUGCACGGCGCAUCUGACGUCAUAACUUUGUUUCUCUAUGUGUG
rnacentral:misc_RNA from 1 species